UUUUAACACUGGCUGCACCACAUAUUGCAGAAUUCAGGGCAAGGAUUAGCGUCUGGUUGUUGGAGGACCAAUGAAGCCUUGGCAGAAGCUCAAAGGAGAAAGAGAAGGGGGGAUAACCGAACGUGCAGGGAAGCUGUACGGUCCAGGCACCAAGAUGAGAGCUGGAAAAGGCUGGUUGUCUCUGCAGCCGCCUAGUGGCUCUGAAGAAGAAAGCUGUGGAAACCCUCCCCAGACAAGCCUCAUUCGCGGAUCUUCUGGCAGGAUUGCCUUGCCACAAAAUGGAGGCGGUGCUUCUUUCAAAGUGCCCAGGAGGAUCCAAGAAGUGCCAGCUCAAGCCAGGGGAGGCUGCUGAGCCGCACUUUCAAAGCCACCUUUGGUUAUACACCAGACCCCCAAGGCUCUGGGGCCAGCAACAUUAACAGUGGGAUUUCUUCAUAAAGGAAGAUGAGAGCAAUACAGCUACAGCACCAGAAUUCCUAGCCUGCUUUGAACUGAACCACAAAACUAGGGCAGACCAUAAUUGCAGCUACACAAAAAGCAACAUUCACAACCGGUAACAUUUUAAGAACAUUAUUGUGAAUGGACAAAGUAGAUUUUUACCUGCUGUUCUAAAAGUGCACUUCACUCAAUAGGUAAAAGCAUACGAAAGGCUGCUUCUACCAAAAAGUAGACAAAGCACAAUUCUACCUAACUGCUCAGCCUGACUAUAUUCUGCUGAUUUCUGCCAAUUCGCCUAAUCAAUUCUACAUCCCAGCAGAGCUUCAAGAGACUAACUUGACUUUGGAUGUUCACUUCCAUGGUGGAGCCAGGAGCACCGUUGUCUUCGAUGGGAGAAUUUCAAAGGCAGGGUCACAUACUAUGACACUGGGAUGGCUAGUUUUGCUUUGUUUUCCUUAAAAUCAAGGCCAUCCCUGCCUCCAAGACCAAAUAUGGAAUACAGUUCACUUGCCCCUUUAUAGCUCUCCGCUGCAGCUGUUGCCUCCCGGAGAACCGCUGCAAUUAUGGAAGCCAUUCAAUGCCAAGCGACCUCUGGGCCUGCCUGGACAAUGCCUGAGUGAAGAGGCCAGAAAACUAAAGGUGCUGCAUUCCUAUAGAAUUCUGCUGACUCACAAGAUUCACCAGUGAGCCAAUUCUUCCAAGAGGGCACGUGCCAAAUUCAACAGGGUUCUCUUAGAGCAGACGACCAGUGUGAAGUCAGGAGAUGCCACUUCAAAACAGCAGCAGAGUGGGAAUCUGCCAGCUGGCCCAGCUGACCCCUAACCCUGGAAUCUCCCAAUUCUGAUUUUCCCCACUUUUUUUCUGCAAAACUAUCUAGGGCAAAACAAAGCAGCUUUGUGGACCAUCGACCAUUGUCACUAGCAUAUUUGGAGUGUAUACCAAACUACUGGGCAAAGGAUCAGAAUUUACAGUGUAAAACAAUAUAUGAAUUUUUGGUAUGCUAUUCUCUGUGUAUUCCUAUGUGAGCCCCAUUUUAUAACCACUAUCAAGAAAAAGAUUCUGAUGGGCUCCAGAAGCUCUGGCCUAUCUACCUAAGGUUUAGAAAUAUCAAGGAAGUAUUUUAAGUGGUAAGAGAAAGCUCCAUCAACACAUACUCUUAAUGAUUAAUUUAAAAUGAUAAAUCUGGAGCGGCAAUAUCCACUGAAAGCAAGUCAAAUGGCAGUUUUCGGUCGCUCUUCCCUGCCUCGCUCUCCUGCGGACCCAAGCUUCCUACGAAAUAAUGGGCAAAAGUCAACUGGGUUAUGGAAAUUUCUAAAAGGUCGGUUGAAGCGGAAGUAAAAUGGCUAAAUGUUUCAUAUAUAUUAUAGUGAGCUGUUACAAACAUUGAAAUGUGUCCUUUGAGAAAAUGUGUAUUUGUUGCUUCAUAAAAUAAAGUAUGCAAGUGAAAUCUA